UACGUAGGGUGCAAGCGUUAAUCGGAAUUACUGGGCGUAAAGCGUGCGCAGGCGGUGAUGUAAGACAGUUGUGAAAUCCCCGGGCUCAACCUGGGAAUUGCAUUUGUGACUGCACGGCUAGAGUGUGUUAGAGGGGGGUAGAAUUCCACGUGUAGCAGUGAAAUGCGUAGAGAUGUGGAGGAAUACCGAUGGCGAAGGCAGCCCCCUGGGAUAACACUGACGCUCAUGCACGAAAGCGUGGGGAGCAAACAGG
rnacentral:rRNA from 1 species